CUGCACACAGGAAUGAGAAGCACUCUGAGUCCCUACCUGGGCCAUUGCUUAUCACAGUGAUGACUACAGAUAAAACGCUCUGGUUCCUCCUUGUUCCCUGCGGAGCUGGCGUUGUGGCGGCAGUGUGAGGUGGCCCGGUCGGUGUGGGCUCUGCUCCACGAGGGGAAGAGGUCUGGAGGAGGACGGGGCAGUGUGGCCAGCUGUGAACGCCUGGCCCUUCGUGUUCUGCGUCACAAAAGCCACGUGAGGAAAGCACCGGACCUGUGUGGGGACGAGGAUUUGGAGCCUGCUCUGGACGCUAAUGAUGCCAAGCGGGGUCUGUCCCUGCCCUCCUGGGGAGCCGGCCAAGUGGGGAGGCUUCUGGGUCCCACGCCCGGGACCUGGGUUGGUUUUUCUUAGGGGUACUGAGGGUUGACCAAGAUUUUGAUUUUGUCAUAGUUUUUAAAAAUUGCGGUAAAAUAUGCAUAAUAAAAUUUACCGUGUGGCCACUGUUAGGUUUGCAGUUUGGUGGCCUGGUUGUGUAACCGUCCUCUGUCAGCCCCUGGAUUUCCAUCUCUCCCACUGCG
rnacentral:lncRNA from 1 species